UAGGGAAUAUUAGAAAUGGACGAAAGUCUGAUCUAGCAACACCGCGUGUGCGAAGAAGGCCUUCGGGUCGUAAAGUACUUUUUGGAAGGAAUAGGAAGGAAUGUACUUCCAGAAUAAGUCUCGGCUAACUACGUGCCAGCAGCCGCGGUAACACGUAGGAGGCAAACGUUAUCCGGAUUUACUGGGCGUAAAGCGCGUGUGGGUGGUACUGUAAGUAGGGCGUGAAAGCUCCUGGCUCAACUGGGAGAGGCCGUUCUAAACUACAGAACUAGAGGAUGGUAGAGGGAGGUGGAAUUCCAGGUGUAGCGGUGGAAUGCGCAGAUAUCUGGAGGAACACCGGUGGCGAAGGCGGCCUCCUGGACCAUUCCUGACACUCAGACGCGAAGGCUAGGGUAGCAAACGG
rnacentral:rRNA from 1 species